rnacentral:rRNA from 1 species
CUGUGCGACUCUGCGGGCCUACUUACACGCGAUCUCGUCUGAUCUCAGAAGCUAAGCAGGGUCAGGCCUGGUUAGUACUUGGACGGCACAAA